UAUAAGCCAAUUUGCAAGUGUGUUGUGAUGAAAUUUUUUUUUAUAAUUUUUUCAACUCAUGAAAUGAUAUUUAUUUUUUGAGGCAUUGAUUCAUCAUAUUAGCUGCAUCUAAUUAUGUCUAAGAUUAUGAUGAACCCCAAAGAUUAGGAUAAUGAUUUUAGGAGACAUGAAUGGGUUAUGCUAGUGAGACCUAAAAUCUUAAAAUCCUAAUCUUAAAUAUUUCUGAUCAUAGGAGCAUUGAGUCGG
rnacentral:lncRNA from 1 species